rnacentral:rRNA from 1 species
UACGGGGGGAGCAAGCGUUGUUCGGAUUUACUGGGCGUAAAGGGCGCGUAGGCGGCCAGCACAAGUCAGUUGUGAAAUCUCCGAGCUUAACUCGGAAAGGUCAACUGAUACUGUGCGGCUAGAGUGCGGGAAGGGGCAACUGGAAUUCUUGGUGUAGCGGUGAAAUGCGUAGAUAUCAAGAGGAACACCUGCGGCGAAGGCGGGUUGCUGGGCCGACACUGACGCUGAGGCGCGAAAGCCAGGGGAGCGAACGGG